ACGCCCAACAGCUAGCCCACCUAAACAAUUUCAACAAACCCCUGUUAAUACCCCCUAAAUACCCCAGUAUUUAAAUUAAACAAACCAUUUUUCCCCCUUAGUAUAGGCGAUAGAAACGGGGCUCCGGCGCAAUAGAGAAAGUACCGCAAGGGAAUGCUGAAAGAGAAGUGAAAUAACCCAGUGAAGCCUGAAAAAGCAGAGAUUCAAACUCGUACCUUUUGCAUCAUGAUUUAGCGAGUGUACCUCAAGCAAAGAGCACUUUAGUUUGACGUCCCGAAACUACGUGAGCUACUCCAAGACAGCCUAUUAAUAGGGCGCACCCGUCUCUGUGGCAAAAGAGUGGGGAGAGCUUUGAGUAGAGGUGACAAACCUACCGAACC
rnacentral:rRNA from 1 species